CCUACGGGGGGCAGCAGUGGGGGAUAUUGGACAAUGGGGGGAACCCUGAUCCAGCGACGCCGCGUGAGUGAAGAAGUAUUUCGGUAUGUAAAGCUCUGUCAGCAGGGAAGAAAGCAAUGACGGUACCUGACCAAGAAGCCCCGGCUAACUACGUGCCAGCAGCCGCGGUAAUACGUAGGGGGCAAGCGUGAUCCGGAAUUACUGGGUGUAACGGGAGCGUAGACGGCUGUGCAAGUCUGGAGUGAAAGGCGGGGGCCCAACCCCCGGACUGCUCUGGAAACUGGAUGGCUGGAGUGCAGGAGAGGCAAGCGGAAUUCCUAGUGUAGCGGUGAAAUGCGUAGAUAUUAGGAGGAACACCAGUGGCGACGGCGGCUUGCUGGACAGUAACUGACGUUGAGGCUCGAAAGCGUGGGGAGCAAACAGGAUUAGAUACCCCUGUAGUC
rnacentral:rRNA from 1 species